rnacentral:lncRNA from 1 species
GAGCUUGCUUUGCUGGAUGGUUCAUAUUUCCUUCUGCAGCUGGAAGGCUGGUAUCCACUACUAACUGUGACACUGACUUAUAUACUUUCUUUGAGACUAAAGUCCAGUACCCGGUAGUCCACAGGCAGCCAAUAAAGGAAGGGAGCUUGGGAGGUCUGGGUCUUUCCUUACUGGCUGCAUGGUGGGCUGCUUCCUGAAGUUCCCAGGGACUUGACUCUGUAAGCUGAAGAAGAGGGGAUUGUUUAUUAGCUCAUGGGAGGGAACAUCUAUUUUGUGAUUGUAUUUACCCUUCUCAUCUGUCCAGUUAGAUUGAAAAUUACUGGAGAACCAGUACCAGC